GAGGACCUCUAGCUACAGGCUUAACACAUGCAAGUCGAGGGGAAACGACAUCGAAAGCUUGCUUUUGAUGGGCGUCGACCGGCGCACGGGUGAGUAACGCGUAUCCAACCUGCCCACCACUUGGGGAUAACCUUGCGAAAGUAAGACCAAUACCCAAUGACGUCUCUAGAAGACAUCUGAAAGAGAUUAAAGAUUUAUCGGUGAUGGAUGGGGAUGCGUCUGAUUAGCUUGUUGGCGGGGUAACGGCCCACCAAGGCAACGAUCAGUAGGGGUUCUGAGAGGAAGGUCCCCCACAUUGGAACUGAGACACGGUCCAAACUCCUACGGGAGGCAGCAGUGAGGAAUAUUGGUCAAUGGACGAGAGUCUGAACCAGCCAAGUAGCGUGAAGGAUGACUGCCCUAUGGGUUGUAAACUUCUUUUAUACGGGAAUAAAGUGAGGCACGUGUGCCUUUUUGUAUGUACCGUAUGAAUAAGGAUCGGCUAACUCCGUGCCAGCAGCCGCGGUAAUACGGAGGAUCCGAGCGUUAUCCGGAUUUAUUGGGUUUAAAGGGAGCGUAGGCGGACGCUUAAGUCAGUUGUGAAAGUUUGCGGCUCAACCGUAAAAUUGCAGUUGAUACUGGGUGUCUUGAGUACAGUAGAGGCAGGCGGAAUUCGUGGUGUAGCGGUGAAAUGCUUAGAUAUCACGAAGAACUCCGAUUGCGAAGGCAGCCUGCUGGACUGUAACUGACGCUGAUGCUCGAAAGUGUGGGUAUCAAACAGGAUUAGAUACCCUGGUAGUCCACACAGUAAACGAUAAAGGCUCGCUGUUUGCGAUAUACAGUAAGCGGCCAAGCGAAAGCGUUAA
rnacentral:rRNA from 1 species